rnacentral:tRNA from 1 species
GGGAAUGUGGCUUAGUGGUAGAGUGCUUGCCUAGCAUGCAUGGAGCCCUGGGUUCGAUUCCUUAGUACCA